rnacentral:lncRNA from 1 species
GACAAAGAUAACGCCAUCUUGGGGAAGGCUGACGCUUAACUCUUAAGAACGUGAACUCCUGGGCCGGGCGCGGUGGCUCACGCCUGUAAUCCCAGCACUUUGGGAGGCUGAGGCGGGUGGAUCAGGAGGUCAGGAGUUUGAGACCAGCCUGACCAACAUGGUGAAACCCCGUCUCUGCUGAAAAUACAAGAAAAAAAAAAAAUUAGCCGAGCGUGGUGGUGCGCGCCUGUAUUCCCAGCUACUCAGGAGGCUGAGGCAGAAGAAUCGCUUGAACCUGGGAGGUGGAGGUUGCAGUGAGUCGAGAUCAAAAAAAAAAAAAACAAAGAACACGUGAACUCGAAAGCUGACUUUCUGGGUUGGAAUCGCUCUUCACGGCUUACUGCUUGUGUGACCUUGGGCAAGUUACUUAACUUCCGUGUGCCUCAGUUUCCAAAGGGGGAUAUAAUUUUAUUUACCUAAUGGGUCUUAGUGAGGAUUAGAUGAGUUAAAUGAGCUAGUCUUGAUAAAAAUGUUAAUGAUUAUGGUAGACAGACCAAUCACCCUCACCCCGACUCCCAGAUGUCUACCUUCUAAUCCCCAGAAUCUGGGUAUAUGGUGACCUUUAUAUAGCAAAAGAGAAUUGGCAGAGAUGAUGAAAUUAAAGCGAUUGAGAUGGGGAGCUAGCCUGGAUUGUGCAGGUGGGUCCCCUAUCAUCAAAACCAUCCUUAUAAGGGGUAGACAGGAUGGCCAGAGUCAGACAGAGAUCAGAGAUGCUUUGAAGAGGGAGAGUGGGACCACAUGCCUAGGUAUGCAGGAGGCCGCUAGAAAAAGCAAAGAAAUGAGCCCUCCUCCAGAGUCUCCAGAAGGAAUGCAGCAUUGCUGACACGGUGAUUUUAGUCUUGUAACACUCAUCUCAAACUUCUGACUUCCAGAACUCUACCAGAAUACGUUUGUGUUGUUUUAAGCCACCAAACUUGUGGCAAUUUGUUACAGCAGCAAGACGAAAGUGAUCAUAAUGAUUGUAACAGUGGCAUUUAGUAUAUGUGGGGCAUGUGUAUGACUCUUUGCAUAGAUUAUAUUAUAUAAUCCUUGCAAGAAUCCUAGAAGCGGACCUAUUAUCCACCAUAUUAGAGAGAAGAAAAAUGAGACUCAUCACAUCCUCAUCUCAUCUGUCUUUAUGGAGAAAAUGGGAAAAGGGAAAAGGAGAGGGGAAUUGAGGCAGUUGACUGUGUUCAGUCUUAUUUAUUUAUUUUCAUUUGUUUAUUUCUCCAAGUCCGCCAGUCUCUGAAAUUAGAACAGUAAGCAAUAUGAGAUAAUCGGGCCUAAUAAUGUUGUGAUUCUCUUUUCUUAAUGGAGUGGAAUGUUCUGUCCCCACAAGAAGGAUUAUACCUUAUAGACUUGUCUUGUUCAGAUUCUGUAUUUACCCAUUUUACUGAAACACAUACUAAAUUCCAUGUGUUUUUGUUACAAAUCUUCUGAAAGAAAAUGUGAAACAUUAAAAGGUAUUAAUAAUAAUUUUUUUUAAAAGGAAAAAAAAUGAGGCUCAGUUGCUUAAAUGGCAUGCCAGGGGUCAUUUCCCAGCUAGCAAGUGAAGGAGCCUUCAGUUAAAAAAUAACUCAAAGACAUUGAGUUAAUUAUUGGCGUGUUAUUUACUUGUAACUAGUGGAACCAGUAUAGACUGACUUCAUCUCAGAAAGCGAGGAAAGGAUUUAUAUAGAAGAAACACAGCUUCUAAACUAUGAAUGUUGGUUUUUUUGCCUAGCUGGACCCUGGCAAUGAAGCCAGUGAGUGUUCUGAUCCUGGAAAGCUAGAAAGAAAGUAAUUCUAGUUGCACGUGAAUGUCCCUGAAGACCAUGAGAAUUUAGCUUCCUCUGCACGAUGCCUGUCAGGGUCCUUGGUUGUCAUCUCCAUCUUAGCGAUGCAGGUUUGCACCCUCACCCUUGUCAGAAAUUCUCCCUAGAGUGGCAUCCAGCUGAUUGUAACCACCUCCCAAGCCACUUAAAUGACCAGGAGCAAGCUAGUGAGUCCCCUUUAUUCCCAGGCUCACUCAUUUUGCAGGCUGCAAAAGCACAAAAUAACUUAAUCUUGCAUUGACCAGAAUGCUCCCCUGUCAUACAAAUGAUUUUUCACAUAUCCCCCCAUUUCCUCAAACUCUCUCCUCUUUGUUUAUGUGUUCCAAGCAUCUGGGUCUAUCUGGAAUUGCCUUCCUCUACCAAGUACAAAAGUUGAAGCCCAGCCCAGUAUGUUCUUUACUCAGUCACCCUCUAAAUACAUGGACCUGGGUUUGUUCUGGAAGAAAGGGAGGGCAGGGACAUCCUAGUCUGGUGAAAAGAGCACAGGAUUUCCUCCGAGGCCGCUAGCACUCCGUUCCAGCUACGUUCCUUUAGUUAGUUUGGCAGCUCCCAUCUCCCCUCUGAGCCUCGGUUCUUUUACCCAGUUGGGCACACAGGAUGUUUGAGAUAAAGAGUGUAAGAAUGGUUUGCAAACUGAAAAUGCUGUGCCUGCAUCACUUGCAGGAUAGUUCUGCUCAGUGCCAGUUUUCUCACAGCAGAAGGCGUGUGCGUACCAACAGUCUGUGUUAUGACACUGCAUAUUUUGCAGUGUUUUGACCUCCGGUUUGUCCUUACCCCUGUUGAGUCCCAAGAGAGUGGGACUGGGUGGGAGAUUGAUUAUCUUCUUCCUUCUUAUAUCUUACUAGAUUUUAAUUAUCUAUGAAGUCUUUUAGGUGCUUUAAAUAAAGGGGGAGAGAGGAAAUCUUCUGAAGCAGAUGACAAUUAUUUCCCCCAAGCACAGCCACCAAGCCAUGCUCUUAUUUUGAAUGAUCUGCGUCAUUUUCCAACAUGAAGCCUCAGAAGGACAUGAUUACAGGCUGGACUCACCGACUGUAGCCUGUGCAGCUAUUGUAAUGUUUUAAUCAGUGAUUAAGUCAAGAGGUUUAAUUUAGUACCGGGCUCCGUUAAGCUUGUGAAAAUGGUUUUCUGCCUCCUCAAACUAAAAAUGUGUCUCUCCCCCAUGUGUCCAGCCCGAAGCAUCUUAACCUUUGUUCUAUCUUCAACACCGCUGGCUCUAACAAAUUACUCAGCAGUGAAUGAAUUAGCUGAGUCCAAUGUGUGAAAAAAGAUUAGGCUGGACCUAGGAAAAUUAGCUUCUAAGCACAGCACAGGAUGAGGCAUAAAGAUACCUGGACUCGUGCCCUGCAUGACAAAGAAGCUAAGCUUCAUUAGCGUCAGUCAUGACAUCCGUCAUUGGCAUUAUCUCAUUGAAUCCCUGCGACAACCUCAGGGGCAGAUGCUAUUAUUAUUCGCAUUUUGUAGAUGAAGAAAACUGAGACCCAGAGAAGGUAAAUAACUUGUCCAUGGUCACACAGGCAGUCUUGGUCCCAGGAUUUGAGUUGAGGCAGCCUAGCUCUGGGAUCCCCACACUGUCCUUCCUCCCUCGCUGGAUCUGAGACUACGUUAGCUUUGCAUUCAUUCAUUGAUUAACUCUGUUGGGGAAAGGGGACAUUUUAGGGAGCUACCCCAGAAUAGUUCUGCAGGAGGGACCUGUCUUUAGGUCAUUGCAAGCAGAGAUGACUAAGGAGGUGAGUGCCAGGAGUCCUGACCAUGCAAGCUAGAACUGGACAAGCAUCAUUUGGUAUCACGGAGAGCCCAGCCGAGCUUGCAAAUCUGGAGUAACAGGAUGGCCUAUGGGGCUUUUUCUGCAGCCUGGGGAAUUGGUGCCUGAGGCCAUGGCUAAAAAAAAAAAUGAGAGUUGCUAAAAACUACAGCCUCAAACUCUUAAUGGGGGCCCAAGUGCUGCCCCCCAGCUUCAACCCAAUGGCUUACUAUGAACAGGAGAAGAUGCUUUAUAGUGCUCAAAUCCACCCGACCCCACUGGAUUUAGAGAGGCAGCAGGGAAGUGGUAGAGGGAGCUGUCCACAUUAUGAGAUGUUGGCCUCAUAGAGAGGGACGGGAGGGACAUUUCUCUAAACUCCUAAAGCCAAGUGAGGGGCUCCAAAGAUGAGGAACAGAGUUCAAAUCAGAGAUCUGGCAAUGUCAUGGUGGGGAGUCUUGAAGGUGACCCAGCUGAACCCAAGAAGUAGGAAAAAGCAGAGAAAAGCCACAGCAAGAAGUAGGGAAAAGCAGAGAAAUGCCACAGUAAGAAGUAGAGAAAGCAGAGAAACAUCACAACUAGAAGCAGCCCAGGUCCCCGACCCUUCUUGUUGGCCCUGCGUUAGUUUCCUAGGGCCACCAUAACAAAAUGUCACAGACUAGAUGGCUUGAAACAAUAGAAAUUUAUUGUCUCACAGUUCCAGAGACUGGAAGCCCUAAAUCAAGGCAUCGCAAGGCCAGGUUCCCUCUGAAACCUGUAGGGGGAAUCCUUCCUUUCCUCCUCCCAGCCCCUGAUAGUGAGUGGCAGUCCUUGGCUUUCCUUGGCUUCUAGAUGUGUCCCUCCAGCCCUGUCUUCACGUGGCCUUCUCCCUGUGCCUGUCUUCACAUGGCCGUCUUCUUACAAGGACACCGGUUAUAUGAGGUUAGGGGCCCACUGUACUCCAAUGUGACCUCAUCUUAACUGAUUGCAUCUGUAACAACCCUAUUUCCAAAUAAGGCCACAUUCUGAGGUACUGAGGGAUAGGACUUCAACAGAUCUUCUUUUAGGGCGGGGUGCAGUUCAACCCAGAACAGGCCCUCCGUGUCAGUCUUGAAAAAGGCCAGCAGAGACCCUCAGUACUAAUGGGAGAGGAGACCUGAGACCCGUCCCAGAGAGCCGGGGUUUAUAAACUGGCUGAGAAAGGGACUGCCAGAGGGGUCAUGAAGGAAUGACAGUGGUGGGGGGCCAGAGGGGCUGCCUGAAGUGGAGAUGGGACAGAACAGAACUGCUCUGUGUGCACGCCCUGUCCAGGCCUAGCUGCUGGGGAGCUGGCUGCCCUUUCCUGCCAGUGAGGCCAGUCAGUGGGGUGCAGCAACCCUCACCCCCCACAGCAGGAAGGAGGAAACAAACUUUGGUUGGAACCACGGCGGGGCGCAGGCAGGAACUAAAGAGUGAAAAGGAGAGCACUCACAUUUGGGGAGGCACACAGAGAAGACCUUCUUGUCUUGCAGGGCUCUGGGGAGCAGAGCUAUCUGGGUGGAGUAUGGCCAGAUGUCAGCAGCACCCAGGCCAGCAGGCUCACAUGGCUGAAGGAGUCAGGAUAGGAUGGAGGCCAGAGAACAUGGAAGUGGGGCGCCCACAUCUCCUGGUGCUUCACAGGCCACUUAUAGGGACUUGGCGUUUACUCUGUGUGAAGUGGGAGCCGUGGAGGACACUGAGCAGAAGAGGUCUGUGGCCCAACUUAGGGCUUCAUGGGAUCCCUGUGGCUGCCAGAUUCAGAAGAGACCAUUUUAGCCAGAACAGUUCCCUAUCUGCAUACUUCCCAUGGACACACAGCAAGGGAGGCGACCAUGUACCUCUGUUUUAAGGACAGGUGUAUGCCUAAGAGACCAGACAGAACAUGCUUUAUGUCCACUAGCUGUGAGCCUUCAGAUAGCAGCCACUGUGUGCCAGGGACUCUGGUAAGUAUGUUAUGUAUUUUUUUCUUUGAAUAAACUUUACAAAAAUUUCAAACACCUUUAUACAUACAGAAAAGUUGCAAAGAUAGUGCAGAGUUCCCACGCACCCCACACCGUUUCCUGUGUUGCUAACGUCUUACUUUUCUUCAUCGUCCAUUCAUCACAACUAAGAAACCAAUCUUGAUACAUGCUGUUCAUUAAACUCCACCCUUUACUGGAUGUCACCAGUUUUCCCCAAUGUUGUUCUCCAGACCAAGGUCCCAUACGGGACACCACAUUGAAUUUAACUGUCACAUCUCCUUAGUCUCCUCUGGUCAGUAACAAAUUCUCAGACUUCCCUUGUUUCUGAUGACCUCAAUCGUUUUAAACAAUAUAGAUCAGGUAUCUUAUAGAAUAUGGCUCAGUGUGGAUGUAUGUGAUAUUUUUCUCAGAGUUUGCAUGGGAUCAUGAGUUUUGGGGAGGAACACCGCAGAGGUGAAGUGGCAUCUUCAUCGCAUCAUAUCAGGGGUAUGUGCUGUUGAAAUGACUUCACGGAUAGUAACCUUGGUCACCUGGCUCGAGGUAGUGUCUGCCAGGUUUCUCCACUGUAAAGUCACUUUUCCCCACUUUCCUUAUCUACUCUUUGGAAGCAAGUCACCUAGAUCAGCCCACUCUCAAGAGGCACUGUAAAUAGUUUUUAAAAUUUUAUUUUUAAUUGACAAAUAAUUGUACAUAUUUAUGGGGUACAAGUGAUGUUUUGAUAGAUGUUGACAAUGUGGAAUGAUUAAACUGGGCUAAUUAACAAAUCCAUCACCUCACAUACCUCUUUUUUGUGGUUAAAUCAUUUAAAAUUUACUUUUAGCAAUUUUGCAAUAUGCAAUGCAUUUCUAUUUAUUAUAGUUACCGUACUGUGCAGUAGAUCACUAAUGCUUAUUCCUCCUGUCCAACUGAGACUUUGUGCCCUUUGAUCGACAUCUCCUUUCCCCAUCCACCCCUCUCCCACAGCCUCUGCUAACCGCCAUCCCACCCUCCACUUCUGUGAGUUCAGCUUUCUUCGAUUCCACAGUAAGUCAGAUCAUGCGGUGUUUGUCUUUCUGUACUUGGCUUACUUAACUCAGCAUAAUGUCCUCAAGGUUCAUCCACAUUGUCAAAAAUGACAGAUUCCCCCCACCUUUUAAGGCUGAAUAUUUUCCAUUGCAUACAUAUAUGCACCACAUUUUCUUUAUCCACUCAUCUAUUGAUAGACACUUAGGCUGGUUUCAUAUCUUAGCUGUUGUGAAUAAUGCUGCAAUGAACAAGUGCCUACAUCAAAAAAGAAGAAAGAUUUAUAACAAGUGCCUACAUCAAAAAAAGAAGAAAGAUCUCAAAUAAGUAACUUAACGUUACAACUCAAGGAAUUAGGAAAAGAACAAACUAAGCCCAAAAUCAGGAGAAGGAAGGAAAGCAUAAAGAUCAGAGUGCUUUACAUAUUUUAACUCGUUUAUGUUUCACUGCAGCCUAAGCUGCAGGUAUGUUAACAUGUCCACCUCACAGAUGAGGGAAUGGAGGCUCAGGGAGUUCCACUGGCCCACCUGCAGCGAUGCGGGAGCGCCUAAGCUCGCAGUCCCCUGCCUCUCCCAGGAGACAGGGCUCUUGGACCUGUCUCCCCUGGUUCACCAUCAUCUCUGCAUCCUCCCUGCUGUCUUUUUACCCUUCAUACAUGCAGAGAUGGAAACAAUCCAAGUUUCUGUGUGGCCCCAACAGUCUGAUAUGAGACUGUACUUGAAAGAAAGAGGUCCCUCAAUCACAUUCCUUUUUGUAGACACGUGGGUCUCAGCCUGGGGCCUGAGCUAUUUGUUGCAAAUGUCCUGAUACCCACUUUAAUUUCCUGCCUGGUCUAGACAGACACAGAUAGAGACAGUGCUAGGAGGCACUCUUGGGGGGAGGGGUGUGUUUCUCCAAAGAAGGACCAUAACAGCGGUGGCCGCCUCCCUCCUGGGUCCUGCAAGAGAGAGGCAUCAGGGAGAACAGUCCUGGGGACAGUGACUUGAAGGAUGGGAGCUAGGGUCGCAGUUUUAAAGGAGGAAUGAGGGCUUGCCAGCCCCUGUGGUGCUGUGUCAAGAGAGGUAGAUGCAGAAGCUGCCUGGGGAAACCGAGCUCUGUUCUCAAGCACACACCUUCUUCAUCCUUCCAUUCCAAGGAGCCUCCACCCAGGCACCCCAAUGCCACCUUCCUCCCAAGAGUUCAUCCCUAAAAACAACAGCAUGCAGGGACUUGACUGUGCUUACACUUUUAUUCAUGCAUUUGAUAGUCAAGACACUUUCUAAGUGACUGUUCUCUACUGUGAAUUGGGCCAAGUGCUCUCUUUACACUAUCCCAUUUAAUCCUCACAGCAACCUGUGAGUAUUCUUAUUCCCAUUCUGCAGAUGAGGAGAUGGAGGCCGGGAGAGUGAAGGGACUCACAGUUGGUACUGGAACAAGAAGUAAAAUCCAGGGCUGUCUGACUGCAAAGAUGGCUCUUUCUAUCCAUUAUUUAUCUGGUCCUCAUGUUCCUCACACUCCAGAGGGAAGGCAGACACCACCCCUACCACACCCCCACAAGGAAGCAGGGCACAUUACAUCACGGUCAUUGCUGUGAAAGGAUCAUGGCAAUGUGGUGCGAUAAUAGAGAAUCAAGAGGUGGGAAUGAAUCUAAUACAGACUGUGACGAGUGAAGGUGUCUCAGAGGAGGUGAUGUUUAAGCCAUAACUGAAUACCUGGAAGAACAGGGAGAAAUGUGUUUAAGGAUUUAACAGCACGUAUGAAGUCCUUAGGUUGGAAAGAGGUCCAGAAGUGGGUGAGAAAGAGAAGUGGGAUGUGAGGUAGGAGGGGUGGUGGGCAGGAUCCAGGUCCUGUGGGGCUUUGUAGAUCAAAGUAAGGGACUGGAAAUUUAUCCUGAGUGUGAUAGAGGCCAUUGGAAGGUUUUCAGAAGGACAAUGACAACAUCCGUCUCUCAAGGUGCCCACAUUUUAGAGCAGGGAUUCUAAAGUUCAGCACUACUGACAUUUGGGGCUGAAUAAUUCUUAGUUGUGGGGGCUGUCCUGUGCAUUGUAGGAUAUUCAGCCACAUCCCUGGUCUCUCCCCACUAGAUGCCAGUACUAGCUCCCCACCCUACUUCCAGUGGUGACAACCAAAAAUAUUUCCAGACAUUGCCUCUUGGAGAACCACUGACUUAACAUAUCAAAGGUUUAUUUGUUGCUCUCCUACACAUGGUGACUACGUUUCUUAGUCUGUUUGUGCUGCCAUAACAAAAUACCACAGUCUGGAUAAUUUAUAAUGAACAGAAAUUUAUUUUAGCACAGUUCUGGAGGCUGGGAAGUCCAAGAUCAAGGUGCUCGUGUCUGGUGAGGGCCUUCUUGCUGCACUAUCACAUGGUGGAAGAAUAUCUUGUCUGUACAGGGUUGAAGGUGGAAGGACAAAAGAGAGCAAGAAGGGGCUGAAUUUGCCCUUUUAUGACAGCAUUAAUCCCACUCUCAUGGCUUAAUCUCCUUUUAAAGGUCCCACCUCUUAAUACUGUUACAAUGGCAAUUAUACUUCAAUAUGUGUUUUGCAGGUCACCUUAUUCAAACCACAGCACCCAGGUAUUGGGACUUACUGCAUCAGGUGGCUCCACCAUCUCAGAGCCCUUUGCUUCCAUAUCAUAGGCCAGGGAGAUACCACAGAAGAUGGCAUGGGUUGUUUGAUAGCCAGGUCUGGAAGCAAUUGUGUACACUAUUGCCAUCCACAUUCCACUGGCCAGAACUCAGUGUCAUGGCCCCAGCCUGUCUGCAAGGCUCCUGGAUCCAGGAGGAGCAGAUGACUUGGGUGGCAUAAAGACUUGCCUCUGCACAAUGAACUAAGCAUUUCCUGACAUGCUCCACUGAAUGCUCACAACACACAAGCAGGUGGUAUUAAACCCAUUCUUCCAAGACUGAUCUGUAGAAGGGGUCAGUGGUCAGGGCAGGGACAUGGGGUCCCAGGUGAAAGCACCCAGGACCAGGCUCCAUGCAAAGCUCCCUGGGCCACAACAUGAGGCUGACACAUGCAGUAGAUGGCUACGGUUUGUCUUGAUAGCAUCCCACCCUCCUUUGCUAGCAAGAACCCCCGAUUUUUGUCUGGGGAGCUAGCCUCCCACCAUUUGUCCAGCUGAGGUUCCCCACUCAGGUUUAGCACAUGACCCAAGUCUGAGCCAGUAGGUGUGGUGCAUUCCUCCAGGCACUGUGCCUGCUCGGCCAGAGCGCACAUCUCAGGGUUGCUGCUGGGGAUGAGGGGAUAGAGACUUGUCUUUUCUCAGCUGGGCAUGAGCCUGAUGCUGCUGGUGGCCUGCCUGGGUAUUUAAUUUUUUUUUUUUUUGUAGAAACAUGUCUCACUAUCUUGCCCAGGCUGGUGUUGAACUCUUGGCAUCAAGUGAUCAUCCUGCCUUGGCCUCCCAAAGUGCUGGGAAUACAGGUGUGAGCCACUGCACCCACUCACCCUCAAACUUUCUAAUCACACAAACCAAUAAAUUUCCAUUUUCUGUCACUUGCAACCAGGACAGUGUUGAGCAACAUAAUACAUGUUCCCCUCAAGCCCAGAGAUACUUGGGAACUGGGAAGGGGCUGAAUCUGCAGGGGAGAUGACCUGUGGAUCCACCUCUGGUAUGCGUGGGAAUACCAGGGUUGGAGGCAGGAUGCUGAGAUCCAGGACAACUAGAAAAGGACCCUAGUAACCCUAAUAUCAGGACAAAGUCACCCUGGCAUGCCACCCAUGACUUAGAAGUUCAAAUAAAGGAGUAUUUAUUUCUUUAUGUUCCAGCAAAUGAAUCACUAACCUAACUUUCCUUGACCACAACUCUGAGAAAUAGAUACCUCUGUGAGCUCCGUUUUACUGGUGAGAAGGCUCAGAGAGGCUAAGUGAUUGACCCAGGUCAUGUAGCUUGUUAAAUUGUAGAACUGGGACUUAAAACCACGUUUCUCUGACUGCACAGCCCAUGUUUUGUUUUGUUAUAUUUUUCUAUAUAAUAAAUUCUAACAUCUUCCUAAACUUGUUUUAAAAGAUAAAGCCUUUUGUUUUCGUCCAAGGCUGGAAUUUAUCAGGCAUCCAGGGCACCCAAAGAUAGGCUUGGAGAAGCCAGACCACAUCUUCCCUUUUCUCUUCCCUCCUAGUCCCCCUCCCUCAGGUCUGUGUUUGGGUAACACACGCCUUCUGUAGAGAGUACAUAUUUAAGCAUUCCGAGGGCACACAACAUCUGCUGCAUUGAUACCAGCAUUCCCUCCUGCAGGUGCGUGGUUCAGCGUGGGUGAGACGGAGUGUGGUGAAGACACGCUAUAAAUGUCAGCAUGAUAUUCACACCCGACUGUCUAAGAAUUAACAAGCCUUUGCAGAAUGGCUUCUGUCAGCACCCCACUGUGUGGGGAGGACACACCCCCUUCAGGCAUGGUGCGUUUGCGUGAUUGGCACAGAGGACACAUGAGGUUGUGUUUAGGAGUUGUGUGUGCAUGCAUGAUUUUGGAUGUGAACACACUAUCUGCACAUGCUUCACAAUCAGAGUCGAGCAACCAAGCCUCCCAGAGCCAAGGGAGUGAGUCAGCCAUUGGCUGCCGAGGAACAGAGAGGCAUGAUGAUGACGAUUUUUCUUCAGGUGGAAUGCUGCUUCCUGCCGCUGGAAGAAAAAAAAAGUCCUCCAGGUAAUUUAAAGGAAACAAACAAACAAACAAAAACAUCCCAAAUCAAACCGCACCUCUUAUAAGCUCUAGGGAGGAUCAUUAGUGUGAGAAGUAUUUUAUCAUUUAAAAAAAUGGGUUUCUCUUUGUGUAAACAAAUCAACAAAGAAGCCUGUUUAUUUCUCACAAUCAAUUCUGGACAAAUGUUAUAGAUGGAAAGUUUGUGUUCCCCCAAAAUUCAUAUGUUGAAAUCCUAAAUUCCAACAUGAUGGUGUCAGAAGGUGGGUCCCUUAUGAAAGAGGCCCCAGAGAGCUCCCUUACCCCUUCUACCAUGUGACGAUAGCUAGAAGGCACCAUCUAUGAACAAGAAAGCAGGCCCUCACCAAACACCAAUUCUGCUGGCAUCUUGACCUUGGACUUCCCAACCUUCAGAACUGUGAGAAACACAUUUCUAUUGCUUAUGAGCCACCCAAUCUAAGGUAUUCUGUUAUCACAGCCCAAAUGAACUAAACCAAGAAGCAAAAGUGUGAGUUUGUGAGUUUUGUAAUGGCUUCUGCUUAUUCUUCCCCUGGUCUCUCGGAAGGACCAACUUUUCACUCUCUCUGACUGUCUUCACCUGAGAUAAGUUCCCAGACAUUAACCUAUUGCAUUGUCAUGGAAUGAGACACGACAGUGAGUAUAUUGCUGGGACAUAGGAAUAGAGGAUCUAGAGGGCCAAUGGAGACCUGAAGUUUCUGUUUGUUCAGUAUCCAUUCUCCCUUCUGGCAGUAGGGCCCCAAUUUAUUGUGGGAAGCCACAACUUUCUCACUCUCAGAUUACAUGGUUUAGGAGGAGCUGACCCCACAUUUAGCUCUAAGGUUGCAGAUUUGACCCAGGCCCAGCCACUCAGCAAAUUCCAUUGCCAUAACCACUGUCAUUAUUUUAAGAUGGGCACAUGACCCAAGUUAGUCCAGUUAGAGACAAUCCUCGGACCUUAGCUGGAGCUAUUGAGAAAGAGAAGGCUUCUUUCCACUGAUGUUGCUAACUGCAAAGAGGUGAGACUGUGGCUUCCAAAAGUCUUCUUGCCACCAAGAGGAGAGAGCCCAUCACAGAGUAAAGUUGACCUAAAGGAAAGUAGAGCUCAGAUUGGGAGCAAGAGAAAGCUUCUAGAUGACAUCCAUUGGGUACCUACAUCCAGGCAUGCCUGAAGCUACUAUUGCCCUGGGAUUUAUUAGGCGCAUGAGGCAAUAAAUCCCCUUUUGUGUUCAAACCAGUGUGAGUUGGGUUUCUAACACUUUCAAUGAAAAGAAUCCUGACCAAGAGGAGGCAUUGAUUUGACCAGAAGGUCAAAGCUCCCAGGAAGUUGAGGACAGGGCUCGGUUUGAGAGCAGAUUGAAGAAGCCACUUAUGGCCAAUGAGAGGCAAAACUUGAGUCUGACAGAUGCUAAAAACUGAAGCCCAAGACUAAGAGUUUCCCUUCAUGUUGGGUGGUGAUCAAAACUAGAUGCUCUGUGAAAAGAUGCUCAACAUCAUUAACCAUCAGGGAAAUGCAAAUCAAAACCACAAUGAGAUAUCACUUCACACCCGCUAGGAUGGCUAGAAUGGAAAAACCCUCAAAAACAGAGAAUGAAUAUUGGAAAUAAUAUGAAGAAAUUGGAACUCUCAUACAUUGCUGGUGGGAAUGUAAAAUGGUGUAGUCACUUUGGAAAAGAGUGCAGCAGUUCUU